rnacentral:misc_RNA from 1 species
GGCAGCUUCACCAUAGGCAGCAUCCGCAGCAGAAACCUUGGAGCCAAUGGCAGCAGCACCAAUGAGUACUGUAAGAGCCAAUCUUCUGGAAACAACGGCAACAUCCUCGUCCUGUGGAGGCUGCUUGUGGGUGGCACGGCAGACGAACUGGUUGGUGGGCUUGGUGGUGCUAGACAGUUGACGCUGCUGGGACAAUGAAGA